rnacentral:rRNA from 1 species
GAUGAACGCUGGCUACAGGCUUAACACAUGCAAGUCGUGGGGAAACGGCAUUAUGUGCUUGCACAUUCUGGACGUCGACCGGCGCACGGGUGAGUAUCGCGUAUCCAACCUGCCCCUUACUUGGGGAUACCCCGUUGAAAGACGGCCUAAUACCCGAUGUGUUUCAUUGACGGCAUCCGAUAUGAAACAAAGGUUUUCCGGUAAGGGAUGGGGAUGCGUCUGAUUAGCUUGUUGGCGGGGCAACGGCCCACCAAGGCGACGAUCAGUAGGGGUUCUGAGAGGAAGGUCCCCCACAUUGGAACUGAGACACGGUCCAAACUCCUACGGGAGGCAGCAGUGAGGAAUAUUGGUCAAUGGACGCAAGUCUGAACCAGCCAAGUAGCGUGCAGGAUGACGGCCCUAUGGGUUGUAAACUGCUUUUAUGUGGGAAUAAAGUGGCGCACGUGUGCGCCAUUGCAUGUACCUCA